GAUGAAGAACGCAGCGAAAUGCGAUAAGUAGUGUGAAUUGCAGAAUUCAGUGAAUCAUCGAAUCUUUGAACGCACAUUGCGCCCCUUGAUAUUCCAUGGGGCAUGCCUGUUCGAGCGUCAUUUGUACCUUCAAGCUCUGCUUGGUGUUGGGUGUUUGUCUCGCCUCUGCGUGUAGACUCGCCUCAAAAUAAUUGGCAGCCGGCGUAUUGAUUUCGGAGCGCAGUACAUCUCGCGCUUUGCACUCAUAACGACGACGUCCAAAAGUACAUUUUUACACUCUUGACCUCGGAUCAGGUAGGGAUACCCGCUGAACUUAAGCAUAUCAAUAAGCGGAGGA
rnacentral:misc_RNA from 1 species